rnacentral:rRNA from 1 species
AGUGAACGCUGGCGGUAGGCCUAACACAUGCAAGUCGAACGGCAGCACAGUAAGAGCUUGCUCUUACGGGUGGCGAGUGGCGGACGGGUGAGGAAUACAUCGGAACCUACUUUUUCGUGGGGGAUAACGUAGGGAAACUUACGCUAAUACCGCAUACGAUCUACGGGUGAAAGCAGUGGAUCUUCUGACCUUGCGCGAUUGAAUGAGCCGAUGUCGGAUUUGCUAGUUGGCGGGGUAAAGGCCCACCAUGCCGAGGAUCCGUAGCCCGUCUGAGAGGAGGAUAGCCCACACUGGAACUUGGACACGCUCCAGACUCCUACGGGAGGCCGCAGUGGGCAAUAUUAGACAACGGGCGCGAGCCUGAUCCAGCCAGCCCGCGUGGGUGACGAAGGCGUUCGGGUUGUAAAGACCUUUUGUUGGGAAAGAAAAGCAGUCGGUUAAUACCCCGCUGUUCUGACGGUACCCAAUGAAUAAGCACCGGCUAACUUCGUG